rnacentral:rRNA from 1 species
UACGGGGGGGGUAAGCGUUGUUCGGAAUUACUGGGCGUAAAGGGCGCGUAGGCGGCUUUGCAAGUCCGGGGUGAAAGCCCCCAGCUCAACUGGGGAAGUGCCUCGGAUACUGCGGAGCUCGAGGGAGGUAGGGGCGGAUGGAACUUCCGGUGGAGCGGUGAAAUGCGUUGAUAUCGGAAGGAACGCCGGUGGCGAAGGCGGCAUCCUGGACCAACACUGACGCUGAGGAGCGAAAGCCAGGGGAGCAAACGGG